AGGAACUAAUACGGAUCCACCUGUUCUUUGCGAAUUUCUCAAUCGCAGCAGUUUUGAACCAGGGUUCAUAUUUGGCUCAGGUUCCGCAUCUUACCAGUAUGAAGGUGCAGUAAAAGAAGAUGGAAGAGGACCAAGCAUAUGGGAUACCUACACCCACAAACAUCCAG